rnacentral:lncRNA from 1 species
UACCGUUGGAACCGCGAAGCCCCGUCCCCCGGCCGCGGCCGCUUCUCCAGGACCCGCGGCGACUGCAAGAGGGCGAGAACGGAAGCCCCAAGUGGCUCCGCGAACCGCGAGCCUCUCCCUGAGGCGGCCGCUGACAGGAGGUUGAAGCGACGGCUGCAGCAAGGGGCCAGCCCGGUAGCGACCCCCGGAUUCCCCCCGGCGGUGGCGGCGGAGACGCGAAAGAAGGGGCGGGAGCAGCAACGGAGGCGGCAGCUGAGGCGCUGAGCCUCCCUAACGGCGAACGGGAGGAGAGGGUAGGGCGAGGGCGGGGGCGAGGGGGCCGGGCCGGACGUGACGUGCGUGGGAGGGGCGGGGCGGGGCGGGGCGAGCGUGGCCGGCGAGCGGGAGAGCCCACAGUGACCCCAGCCCACAGCCGGGCCUGCCACGCCUUGGAUUGGCGUGCCAGAACCUCUGAGCUGGCCCAAGGGAGGAAUGUGGGGGUGCUCGGCUUGAGGAGGUUGUGAAGAAAGAGAAACGGAGGAGACAGAAAUGAUAAAGGGGAAAUCAGGAGGAUUGAGGCCGGUCCUGAUUUCUGAGGAGAGGGCCAGAAAAGCGCGUGCCCAGAUCUGGAAUGCUUUUGGAAUAGGACCAAAGGGAACAUAGUGUGGAUUUCAGCUAUGUUCACUCCGGAAGCCCCUGGUGCCAGUCGAAUCCAGUUUGGGGAACCGAAACAAUUGACAGGAACUGUCAUCUUUGCCAAGACCACAUUUUUGACUUGAUAACUUGGAAUUCAAUUUACAACAAUAAAGUAAGCCAAAGUGAUCAUUACUUAUAAGACUAAUUUGGUUUGACUUCCUGAUUAAUUUCCUAAAAUCAGCUAGGUACUUUUUUUACAAUCAGAAAUUUUAUUGGUAGAAAUAAAUAGCAUAGAGACCAAAUGUGGUGGCACACACCUAAAAUCCCAGCACUUGGGAGGCUGAGGCAGGAGGAUCACCGCGAUUUCAGGGCCAGCCUGGGUUAUAUAAUGAACCCAAGGCCAGCCUGAACUAGCGAGACCCAGAG